CCAAUAGCGUAUAUUAAAGUUGUUGCAGUUAAAAAGCUCGUAGUUGAAUUUCGGGAUCGACGGGUCGGUCGCGCCUCUGGUGUGUACUGGCCCUGUCGGUUUCUCCCUUCUGACGAACCACGAUGUCAUUAAUUUGGUGUCGUGGGAAAUCAGGACUGUUACUUUGAAAAAAUUAGAGUGUUUAAAGCAGGCAUUCGCUUGAAUACAUUAGCAUGGAAUA
rnacentral:rRNA from 1 species